GCGGUAUCGAAGUGGGUACCCCAACCAAAAGAACUGGCAUCUGUUGUAAUAACCUUCCAAGGAGGUUCUUCCAACGGGAAGCCUGUCGCUAAAUUCUUCUUGUUCUUCCACCAGGUCAACCCUUUCCUCACGGGUAGGGGUAAGGAGAUCCUUUGCUCCCAAUCUGUUCCCACUCUGUCGAACUGGAGAAGGAAGCAAUUCUGGA